UACGUAGGGCGCAAGCGUUGUCCGGAAUUAUUGGGCGUAAAGAGCUCGUAGGCGGCUUGUUGCGUCGACUGUGAAAACCCGCGGCUUAACUGCGGGCUUGCAGUUGAUACGGGCAGGCUAGAGUUCGGUAGGGGAGACUGGAAUUCCUGGUGUAGCGGUGAAAUGCGCAGAUAUCAGGAGGAACACCGGUGGCGAAGGCGGUUCUCUGGGCAUGAUCUGACGCUGAGGAGCGAAAGUGUGGGGAGCGAACAGG
rnacentral:rRNA from 1 species